GAUCCUGACUUUGAGAGGAGUCUGUGGCAAGCAGCAAUUUCUAACCCAAGCUUGUUCCUCACUCUGGUCUCAUCCUGGUGGGUGGCUCCACCAGGAGACGGGAUCAUGACCCAAGGAUCAGAACAAGCAGCAGGAGUGUCCUCUCUGGACUGGCAUAUUACAAGAAUAGAUGCUCAUCAGAUUAUGCCUCUAGAAUCUGUGACUCAUCUUGCCCUCAAAUGAUCUGUAAAUUUUCAAUUAUGGCAAUACAUUCAUUCUGCCAUUUGGAGGAGCCUGUGCCACAGAAUAAUGAUCUGAAGAAAGCUCACUUAUUUGCAAGGAAGAGUCUUCAUUUGGGAACUAGUACUGAUGCAGCUCAAGGGUGCUUUUUCAAGUCCAGGUCCUUGACAUUCAGUGGGAUGAGAAUCUCAGAACUGACUACUGGGGACUCCCAGGCUACAGAUCAGAAACCAUUUUGGUAGGUGUGAGUUGCUUGUCAGAAAUCCGUUCCAAAGCUUGAGUGCAAAGGAAGCAGGGAACUAAUGAUGAAUAAGAAUGGAUAUCUUGAGGAUAACAAUGGAUAUGGCAUCUUCAAAAGCUGUGGCAUUCUGGAGGCGUUUUACUCUGGGCUUUGAAAGAACUUAUUUUCUGUUAUCUGGAGCAGGAAGUAGAUCAUCAUCAGUAGCAGUUGUUCUGGUCUAUUUUCUUUUUUACGUGGUGCCUGGUCCUAGUCUCCUGCAACUGGAUUUGUUCAAAUGGAUCUUGAUAGCCUGGGGGCCUGACAAAGUUCAUGGGACUCUGGUGACUGCAAGUUCUCACUCUGAAGAUCUGAUUUUAGGCCUGAACAAAAAUUUCUAUUUUGUUCUCCUGUCUAUUUGCUUCUUAAAUGAUGAAAAUUAUCCUUUAAAAUGGUGGUGUCUUUGAGUCUUAUGCACAUCCACUUUAGUAAUGUUCAGACACUGUGUGCUUGGGAUGUUUUCAGACAUUGUUAAAAUAUUUCUGUUCUGCUGUGUGCCUAAACCUCAUGAUUGCUCUGAUUAUUGUGUUUUUUACAUGUAGUGGUUUUCUACCUAAAAUGGAGGAGAUCGUCACCUGGGUUUUCAAUCAUUGUGGUAUUUCUCUUAACUCAGAUUUUUAAGUCACCGUAACUGUUGAAACUGUUCAGGUUAUUUUUAAGGAUGUAGGUAGAUUUGUUUAUUUUUUGCUAGACACAAAGUAUAAUUUAUUUUGCAAACUUGGCAGCCUAGUAUUACUGAAAGCUUUCAGUAUGAUGAUACUCUGAUGUAAUAAAAUAAGUAGGAAAAGACAUUACCUUUUACUAGCUCUACUGUUACUUUUCUAUUCCUGUGGCUGUGGUUACACAACAUACAACUGAGAGUGAAGAUUAUUUUUAUUUAUAUGAGCCACUGAAUACCUUGCUGUGCACUGUCCUAUUCCAUGUUGCAGCUUUGCUGAAUACUAAACUUACAGCCCUGAUAGAAGCAGUAUAAAGGACUUUGAAAAAUCACAAAUAGAGUGUGAGAGGAAAAAUAGAUGUAUUCUAUGUUAGUAUUUAUAUUGUAAUAUUUUUAAAGCAAGUAUAUAGCAGUAUACAAUAUUUAAGAGAUUAAAAGAUCCAAAACUUUAUUUCUAUAUAGAGAAUCAAAUUUUUUUUUGUUUUUGUAGGUUUAUUACAAUGAUAUUAAGGAGCUUCACAGUAUUUGAUGAAUUUUUGCAUAUUCCCAGAACAGAAAAGCACCGUUGUCCUGUUAGACCAAGGAGAAAACUGAGCCACUUGUUUAGUCAGUAGAAAAGUCAAUGAUAUUAAAUGGAUUCUCCUGCCUUUUAACCUUGUGCCACUGGCUCCAUUUUUCCCUCAAGACCCAAACCUUCCAUUAUCAUCAUCUGCUUUGCAUUUCUACGCGAGAGGCCCAAGGUGUUUCUGUUUGGACUCUCAGAAAAUGAGGAAGAGGAGGUUGGUUGGCCAUCUGCCAAGGUGUGAGGUCUGACUUGCUCCUUGCUCACGGGGGCUGCUGGUGUAGCAGAGGCAGAAGUGAGUGUUCUGUGUGGCAUUCAACUGCCUUAACCACAUGCCCAUCGCUCUCUUCCUGUAGUUGUGUCUUGUUCUCAGCAUAACUCCUAAAGACAACAUGUAUCCCAACCAAUAAAUAAUCUAAUUUGAUGCACAGCCCUGAUUCACUUCCUGAGCUGUGUCCUGCACACACGGAGCAGUCCUGUGGAAAAAUGCAGCACAGUGCACGAGGCCAAAGAGUAAGGCUGUUAAGUGUUUAAACUUUGCAAUGAAGCAGUGUUCUUUUAAUGUCACUUAUUAUAGCUAUAGCUCAAAUUGUUUUUAACAAAGAACAAGAGAAAAAUUAAAGCUUUCAGAACUGAUAGUAAGUGAUUCCCUGUCUAGCUUGUGAAUGUGACUAUCCAGCCCAGUGAAACACAACAUCAGCUGAUGGAAGGAGGCUGGCCACCUCCAGGGAGGAAGGGAAGCAAAAAGGGUGGGUGCUUAACACCAUGGGUAUAUCCAAUUUGCUUCCAAGUCUCAGGGACUAUUUGUAGAGUGUUGACCCCAGCUCUUUAGCUUUUGUUUUCUCUUCAGCAUUCCCACCCCCAAAAAUUAGUUCCUCCAGAGCUUCCCAGUGCAAUAGAUGUUGGGGGUGUUGCUGUAGUCUGCUAAUAAUUUAAAUGAGGAAACAGAAAUCAAAAGUGGGCUUUUCUCCUAUGUUUUCCUGUUGAAAAAUAAGAGGAGAGGCUCCCAGUUCUCUCCACAAUGAAUUUCAGGGGCUUUUCUUCUGAUCCUUGAUCUCACAAAUAGAUGGCAAAAACUUUAAUAAUAGAAAAUGCUGCUCUUGGCUUUAAUCUUCUUCCCAGUCAAAUUGUAGUGACCUGCUGUGUUUGUAAGCUACCAAGGAUGGUGUGUAGGCUCCAGUGCCAGGGCAAUUGUACUGGGAACACAAGCUCAUCUUGUUAUCUUUUAUGUUAGAAUUUAGUAGCAUAUUAAGUUUUUCUCAGGGAAACCUUGCCAGACCAUGGUCUGAGUUUCAGUUUCUGUUAAUGUCUGCUUUAUCUAUGGAUGGUGCUUGAGAUUUGGUCACCAAGCCUAGUGAUUUGCUAUGAGGAAAACAAAACAAUCUCCUACUUUGCUUUUGCAUGUUUUUCUCUGGGAUAUGCAGUCUUUUCUCACAAGUAAUGCAGCAAGUUCCUGUAAAAAGAACAGGUAGGAAUACUGUUAGGGAAAAUUUGGUCAACCCAUUCACUGAAAUUUAUAAAAAUCAAAAUAUUGGCAAAAGUAUUCACUUUCCUUUCGUUGCAAAAUAAAAAUGAAAACCCUGAUAUUAGUACUGAUUUAUUUAUUUUUUUUUUUAUAAGGAUCAGUCUUCAACAUUUCAUAGCUGUGGAGAAAUGGUGGGAAUAGGACAAAACAGUCUUGAUACGAAGAAUCACCUUAAGUCUUAAUAACACUUUGUAUCAUGAAACCAUGACCUGAAAUUGCUGCCUAUCAUAUCAGAUAAUAUUAUUACUGAUUUAUUAAGUUACCUCAUCUUACUUGCUUUUUGUAAUCUUCUGGCAGGGAUCACAGUUUUUUCUGUGCUUUGGGUGUCUUCUUUUGGUUUGGGGCUGUGGUUUUUUACCAGCACCUAACAGAUCAGAGUCCUGAUUCAUGAUUUGGCUUCCAGGUACUAAGAUAAUACAAGUAGUAAUCAUGCCUGCUGCUAAGAAUUUUCUACCUUAUUUCAUUUGCAUUUGUUUGCCUUCAGCUUCCAGUCAUUGAUUCUUGUUAUGCCUUCUCCGAUGGAUUAAAGAGCUCUUUAGGACUCGCUAUUUUCUCCCCAGGAAGGUGCUUUUAACCUGUAAUCAAGUUACUUCUCAGUAUUAUUUUUUUGGUUUGUUUGAUUUUAGAAAAAGCUAAACAGACUGAGCUUUUUAGGGUUCUCAUUAUUUAGGGUUUUCUUCCUAAAUAAUGGGGUUUUAGGGUUCUCAAUUUUUCAUAUUCCUGGAUGAUUUUUGUGGCUCUUUUCUAUCCAUAAAACUGUGUGUUACUAGUCACAUACACAGAAAUAUAAUUACUUCUCCAGUU